UACGUAGGGUGCAAGCGUUAAUCGGAAUUACUGGGCGUAAAGCGUGCGCAGGCGGUUUUGUAAGUCAGAUGUGAAAUCCCCGGGCUUAACCUGGGAACUGCGUUUGAAACUACAAGGCUAGAGUGUGGCAGAGGGGGGUGGAAUUCCACGUGUAGCAGUGAAAUGCGUAGAGAUGUGGAGGAACACCGAUGGCGAAGGCAGCCCCCUGGGUUAACACUGACGCUCAGGCACGAAAGCGUGGGGAGCAAACAAG
rnacentral:rRNA from 1 species